AGAGCAGAGGAGCUGAGGGGAGGCCUCAUGGCGGCUGCGGCUCCUCACAGGGAGCGGAGGAGCAGCACUGAGCUCUGCUCUGUGUGACAGCGACAGGGCCCGAGGGAACGGCAUGGAGCUGUCAGGGGAGGGGCAGCUGGGGGUUGGUUCCUCAUACUGCUUGGAAACUGAGGAGUCAGACCUUUGCUCAUACACCCACAUCUUUGGGGUGUAUCACCACCGCAUAAGUGAAUCCGGCGAGAGUCAAGGAGCAACUGCAUCCUGGAAGUUGCUGAACCUACUGCUCAGCUAAGUGCAACACACCAGUUGAUGUGCAACAUCCGUGUGCCGCAAUACAGCUCUAGGUUGCCUUGGCAACCGGUGGAAAGGGUUUUGAAGAGCCAGAAAGGCCCACGAUAAUGAAAACAAGCAUUCAGGGGGCCUCUUCUCCAGGUGGGUGAGAAGAGGCUCCCCGCUGGGCUCCCUCGCCCAGCCCGCUUUCAUAUAGUCAGUCGCUUUAAACAAAAA
rnacentral:lncRNA from 1 species